UACGAGAGGCCCAAACGUUAUUCGGAAUUACUGGGCUUAAAGAGUUCGUAGGCGGCGCAGAAAGUAGGGUGUGAAAGCCCUCGGCUCAACCGAGGAAUUGCGCUCUAAACUACUGUGCUUGAGGGACCUAGAGGUGAGCGGAACUGAUGGUGGAGCGGUGAAAUGCGUAGAUAUCGUUUGGAACGCCAAUGGUGAAAACAGGUAACUGGGAGUGCGCUGACGCUGAGACACGAAAGCCAGGGGAGCGAACGGG
rnacentral:rRNA from 1 species